rnacentral:rRNA from 1 species
UAGUCAUAUGCUUGUCUCAAAGAUUAAGCCAUGCAUGUCUAAGUACAAGCCUCACUAAGGUGAAACCGCGAAUGGCUCAUUAAAUCACACCUAAUCUACUGGAUAGUUAACAGUUACUUGGAUAACUGCGGUAAUUCUGGAGCUAAUACAUGCACAAAGCCCCGAACUUACGUGAGGGGCGCUUUUAUUAGAUCAAAACCAAACGGCUUCGGCUGUAUCCUUGGUGACUCUGAAUAACUUUGGGCUGAUCGCAUGGCCUAGCGCCGGCGACAUAUCCUUCGAAGGUGUGCCCUAUCAACUGUCGACUGUGGCAUAGACGCCCACAGUGGUUUUGACGGGUAACGGGGAAUCAGGGUUCGAUUCCGGAGAGGGAGCCUUAAAAACGGCUACCACAUCUAAGGAAGGCAGCAGGCACGCAAAUUACCCAAUGACCGAAGGUCGAGGUAGUGACAAAAAAUAACGAUACGGGACUCAUCUGAGGCCCCGUAAUCGGAAUGAGUACACUUUAAAACCGUCCCCGAGGAUCUAUUAG